rnacentral:rRNA from 1 species
CCUACGGGUGGCAGCAGUGAGGAAUAUUGGUCAAUGGGCGCGAGCCUGAACCAGCCAAGUCGCGUGAAGGAGGACUGUCCUACGGGUUGUACACUUCUUUUAUAAAGGAAUAAAGUGAGGCACGUGUGCCCGUUUGUAUGUACUUUAUGAAUAAGGAUCGGCUAACUCCGUGCCAGCAGCCGCGGUAAUACGGAGGAUCCGAGCGUUAUCCGGAUUUAUUGGGUUUAAAGGGAGCGUAGAUGGGUUGUUAAGUCAGUUGUGAAAGUUUGCGGCUCAACCGUAAAAUUGCAAUUGAUACUGGCAGUCUUGAGUACAGGUGAGGUAGGCGGAAUGCGUGGUGUAGCGGUGAAAUGCUUAGAUAUCACGAAGAACUCCGAUUGCGAAGGCAGCUUACUAAACUGCCACUGACAUUGAUGCUCGAAAGUGUGGGUAUCAAACAGGAUUAGAUACCCCUGUAGUC